AUUGAACGCUGGCGGCAUGAUUUACACAUGCAAGUCGAACGGUAACAGGCCGCAAGGUGCUGACGAGUGGCGAACGGGUGAGUAAUGCAUCGGAACGUGCCCAGUCGUGGGGGAUAACUACUCGAAAGAGUAGCUAAUACCGCAUACGAUCUAUGGAAGAAAGCGGGGGACCGUAAGGCCUCGCGCGAUUGGAGCGGCCGAUGUCAGAUUAGGUAGUUGGUGGGGUAAAGGCUCACCAAGCCAACGAUCUGUAGCUGGUCUGAGAGGACGACCAGCCACACUGGGACUGAGACACGGCCCAGACUCCUACGGGAGGCAGCAGUGGGGAAUUUUGGACAAUGGGCGCAAGCCUGAUCCAGCAAUGCCGCGUGCAGGAAGAAGGCCUUCGGGUUGUAAACUGCUUUUGUACGGAACGAAACGGCUCUGGUUAAUACCCGGGGCUAAUGACGGUACCGUAAGAAUAAGCACCGGCUAACUACGUG
rnacentral:rRNA from 1 species